rnacentral:rRNA from 1 species
UACGUAGGGGGCUAGCGUUGUCCGGAAUCAUUGGGCGUAAAGAGCGUGUAGGCGGCCCGGUAAGUCCGCUGUAAAAGUCAAAGGCUCAACCUUUGAAUGUCAGUGGAUACUGCCGGGCUAGAGUCCGGAAGAGGCGAGUGGAAUUCCUGGUGUAGCGGUGAAAUGCGCAGAUAUCAGGAGGAACACCAAUGGCGAAGGCAGCUCGCUGGGACGGUACUGACGCUGAGGAACGAAAGCUAGGGGAGCAAACAGG